rnacentral:rRNA from 1 species
AUGGCGUCCCUCCUGCUCACCAUCCUUGGCUUCCUCCUCACGCCGCUGUCGGCAACGGCAACGGUGAUCUGCAGCAACGGCGGCAAUUACACGGCCAACAGCGCCUAUCAGUCCAACCUCGCCGUCCUCGCCGCCACCCUCCCCAUAAACGCCUCCACCCUCAACCAGACACGCAUCUACUUCUACGCUACCGCCACCGCCGGCGGAGCCCCUGACGUGGUGUACGCGCUCGCGCUCUGCCGCGGCGACAUGGUGAACGCCACCGCGUGCCGAGACUGCGUCGCGGCCUCGUUCCAAGACGCUCAGCAGAGGUGCCCCUACGACCGGGGCGCGACCGUCUAUAUGGACGAUGACGCUGAGCAUGAGUGCCAUCUCAGCUACUCCAGCGACAACCUGCUCAGCCCAGCCAACAUCACCGAGAACGGUACGCUCUUUCAGGAAUGGAACCAGCAGAUCAUCCCCGGCGACGCCGCCAUCGUCGCCGCUGGCGUCCGUGACCUCCUGAAUGGGACGGCCCUUGAUGCGGCCAUCAGGCCGAUGCAUUUCGCCACUGCGUUCAUGGACUCCAUUAGCACAAGCGGCGCCACCACGACGCUCUACUCGCUGGCGCAGUGCACGCCGGACCUGUUCAGCGACAACUGCCAGGCGUGUCUCCAGCGGCUUGUCGGCAUGGUCAACGCCACCAUGUCCGUGCGCCUGGGAGGACGGAUCGUCGUGCUGCGCUGCAACAUCAGGUUCGAGGCAAAUUUGUUCUACAAAGGCCAACCAAUGCGGCGGAUCACUCCAUCAUCCAUCGCUCCGGUCCCUGCUCCAGCAGACAAGAAUCAUGGAACCAAACCCUGGGUAGUUGCCAUAUCUGUAGUUGCUCCUGUAGUACUAGUGGCUUUCUGCUUCAUCGUUUACUGUCAUCGGCUCAGAAGAAGAGGCAGAAAAGGUAAAGGGGGAUUACGACGCAAGCGAGGAGGAGAUGAACUAUGGGAAAUUGAAACAGAGCUCUCUGAGUUUUCUGUUUUCGACUUCCAACAGAUAUUGCAGGCUACAAACAACUUUUCCGAAGAAAACAAACUUGGAGAAGGUGGAUUUGGCCCUGUAUAUAAGGGCUACUUUCCCGAGGGAAUGGAGAAAGCAGUCAAGAGACUAGCUUCGCAAUCAGGACAAGGUUUCACAGAAUUCAAAAACGAAGUUGAGCUCAUAGCCAAACUUCAACACAGGAAUUUGGUUAGGCUCUUGGGGUGUUGCUCUCAGGGGGAGGAGAAAAUACUGGUCUAUGAGUACUUGCCAAACAAAAGCUUGGACCUCUUCAUCUUCGGUGAAGAUGGAAAAUCUUUAAUGGAUUGGAAUAGACGUCUCACAAUAGUUGAAGGAAUAGCCGAAGGACUUCUUUACCUACAUAAGCACUCACGGUUGCGUGUCAUACAUCGAGAUCUUAAACCGAGCAACAUUCUCUUGGACAACGAAAUGAAUCCUAAAAUUUCAGAUUUUGGACUAGCCAAAAUAUUCAGCCCAAACAACACAGAAGGAGACACUACAAGGGUGGUCGGUACAUAUGGCUACAUGGCUCCCGAGUAUUCUUCCCUGGGCAUCUUCUCCAUCAAGUCGGACGUGUUCAGCUUCGGCGUUUUGGUUCUCGAGAUCCUCAGCGGGCAAAGGAAUUCUGGUAGUCGUCGGUAUGGAGAUUUUAUCAAUCUCACUGGAUAUGCUUGGCAGUUGUGGGACGAGGGUAGAUGGUUCGAAGUCGUUGAAGAAUCAUUGCUCCCCACGUGUCAGUCGGAAGAAAUAGUGAGGUGCAUUAACAUUGCACUGCUGUGUGUACAAGAGAAAGCAGCCAAUCGACCGACCAUGUUGGAUGUUAUUGCAAUGCUAAGCAACAAGGAUAUGAUCCUGGGUGAGCCUAAGCAUCCAGCGUAUUUUAAUUUAAGGGUAGGCAAUGAAGAGGCGUCGUCCACUAGUACUCAAUGGUGCAGUGUCAAUGAUGUGACCAUAUCUGUCAUAACUCCAAGAUAG